rnacentral:rRNA from 1 species
CCCCUCCCCGGGGGGUGGCCAGCGCCCGCCAGAGGACCAUCAAACUCCAGUCAGUAAACGAUGCAGUCUGAAAAACAUUUAAUAAACUAAAACUUUCAACAACGGAUCUCUUGGUUCUGGCAUCGAUGAAGAACGCAGCGAAAUGCGAUAAGUAAUGUGAAUUGCAGAAUUCAGUGAAUCAUCGAAUCUUUGAACGCACAUUGCGCCCUUUGGUAUUCCGAAGGGCAUGCCUGUUCGAGCGUCAUUACAACCCUCAAGCUCUGCUUGGUAUUGGGCACCGUCCUUUGCGGGCGCGCCUCAAAGACCUCGGCGGUGGCGUCUUGCCUCAAGCGUAGUAGAACAUACAUCUCGCUUCGGAGCGCAGGGCGUCGCCCGCCGGACGAACCUUCUGAACUUUUCUCAAGGUUGACCUCGGAUCAGGUAGGAUACCCGCA